CCCCAACAAGCUCUGUUGAUAGAGCAUGAGACUCAUUAUCUCGGGGUCGUGGGUUCGUGUCCCACAUUGGGUG
rfam:Lepisosteus oculatus linkage group LG7, whole genome shotgun sequence.